rnacentral:rRNA from 1 species
UCUUUUUGUUUUUUAUAUAAGGUCAGACCUGCCCAAUGAAUUUUAAAUGGCCGCAGUACUUUAACUGUGCAAAGGUAGCAUAAUAAUUUGUUUUUUAAUUGGAAACUAGUAUGAAUGGUCAUACGAGGGAUUGACUUUCUUUAUCUUACUUAAAUUAAUUUUAUUUUUCUGUGAAAAAGCAGAGAUUUCAUUAGUAGACGAUAAGACCCUUUAAAACUUUAUUCAUUAUAGAAGUAUAAUUUUGUUAGGUUUUAAUAGUGUACUUUUUUAAUGAGUUUUGUUGGGGCGACAGGUAAAUUUAUUUAACUUUAUUUUUGUUUUUCACUAAUUAGUGUUUAUUUGAUCCAGAUUUAGUUUUGAUUAUAAGUUUAAGUUACUUAAGG